GCCCGCCUAGCUCAAUCGGAUAGAGCGUCAGACUCUUAUAUGUGUGAGGUGAUUCUGCAAUCUGAAGGCUGCGAGUUCGACCCUCGCGGUGGGCU